GUGCCUUUGAUUAAAUAUACAAUUUGCAAAACCAUCAGAACUAUAAAUUCUAGGAAUUUUUUUCAAAGUUUCCAAAGCCUUCCAGUACAUAUAUGUCAUUUCCUAUGGGGGAAAAAUACACAAAUUUCAGACAACCUCCCCCCAACACACACAAGCUAAAGUCUCAUUAGUAAGGUCCCAGAUCCUGCUCCUUAGUGACAGACUUGCUUUUUAGCACUAUUGCAGGUAAUUUGUAAAAUGAGCUUACCCGCUUGCUGAAAGCCAACCACCCAUUCCUGGGGUCACCACAGCACCCAGAACGUCUUACUGAUGCUUUAAAGUCAACUCUACACUAGUUCACAUAGUCCCCAGUCUCUUCCUAGCUGCCUCCCGGCUCAAAUUCUAAGAACUCUUCUUUUUUUUCUUUUUUCUUCGAGACAGGGUUUCUCUGAAUAGCCCUGGCUGUCCUGGAACUCACUUUGUAGACCAGGCUGGCCUUGAACUCAGAAAUUCGCCUGCCUCUGCCUCCCAAGUGCUGGGAUUAAAGGCGUGCGCCACCAUGCCCGCCCAGCAAGGGCUCUUCUUUCUGACUCUGCUCUCUUCCUUUGGUCAAAGCAUCUCCUGUAAUGUAAUAGUUCUUUCAGGGCCUGGGACUAGCUUCCUAUGUGUCUGUUUUCCAAGACAGCUUCACCUCUUGAUGGAGAUCCCUACAUCCAGGCAACAGUUCCAUUUCUUUAUUUUAUUUUAUUUUAUUUUAUUUUAUUUAGAGACAGGGUCUCUCUAUCUAAUUCUGGCUGUCCUGGAACUCACUCUGCAGAGAUCCACCUGCCUCUGCCUCCCCAGCAGAAAUUAAAGGCAUUUGCCAGCAUAGCAGUCUCAUUUCUUUACUCAUCAGUUUCAAAGUUUUCUUUUUGUUAUUGUUGCUUGUGUGUGUCUGUAUGUUUAAGAUACUAGUUAAGCACAGCUUUGUUUGUGAAAGCAUAGGAUCCGAAACAAUGUAAUUUGCCCAGCAACAAUUGGAUAGCACCUUCAUGAAAUGUUCUGCUUUGUUUACGAAUAGGGAAGACUUCCAGGGUCUGUGGUUAAGAGAAGAAACAGGCACAGGAUGUGUGUAUAGUUAUGUUGCAGGGGUGUGUGUGUGUGUGUGCGUGUGUGUUUAAGCCAUGUGUUAGGUAGCUUCCCUUACAUUCUAGGCUUUCCCUGCAGUGGGUUAUAGACCUCCAGCAGUGCCCAUAAGCCGAAUUUCUUUGCAUGAACUAUUCUGCUCCUUACCCAGGAAACUUCUUGCCACACCUUGCAGCUCCCAAUAUACUGUGUGUGUGUGUGUGUGUGUGUGUGUGUGUGUGUCCGUCCUGGUUAGGUUACACAAGCUGGCUUCAAUUCCUGAACUCAAGCAAUCGUCCUGUAUCAGCCUCCCUAGCAGUUGGAUUUAUAGGCACAGACAGGUAGCAGGUGACUCAAUCAGCACAAGGCAAUGGUCCUUGUUUGUGCCAAAAUUCAUGCAAUUUCAUUGUAUAAUACGUCCUUUUUCAAACUAUUCUAUCCAUCCUCCCUAGGCAUUCUGCAGAAAGUGCUGGGAACCGGUCACUUCCUUUAUGCUGAGUGGGGAAGUAUCUGGUUUACUUUUCUUUUUCUUUUCUUUUUCUUUUUUUUUUUUUUGAGACAGGGUCUCUACAUAGCCCUGGCUGUCUGUGGAAUUCACUCUGUAGACCAGGCUCCCCUCAAACUCACAGAGAUCCCCCUGCCUCUGCCUCCUGAGUGCUGAGAUCAAAGGUUUGUGAACUGUUUUCAAUCCUUGCCUUCGCUACCCUGCUCCCUUGUAUGUGUUUCCAGUGGUAGGACCUACUGAUGUUUUUGUCAGGCUGAGAGCCACUUUCAGUCUCUUGCUGGGCUCUUUUCUGUGGCCCUCCAGUGGCCUUGGGCCUGGGUAUUCCCCCCGCUUCCUUGGUGAACUUCAUCCCAAGUUUCAAUCCUUCACUUAGUGAUUCUGGGUUUGUUUCCAGGUUCCAGGUCCCCCAUAUCAAAGGGCAGACCGGAUAGCUCACCUUGGGAUCCAUAUCUAGCUUAGUAAGCACAGCUAACAUUUACCCAGUGAUGUUUAAGUAAGCAAGCCUAGGACAGAAAUUGUCUAUGAAUUCUUUCAACUAUCCAGUAAGGGCACCAGCUAUGGGUCACGUGAAAAAUUGAAGUAAAGGACUUCAAAACACUCAAGGAAAUUUGUGACAAGAGGAUUCAAAUCCAGGCAGCUUUCUUUUCAGAGUCCCAUGCUCUUUGUAACCUACCAUUAUACAGCCCUACACAAAACCUCCUCUUAGUGCUCGCUGUGGCAGCACAUAUACUAAAACUGGAACGAUACAAACCUUCCCCCUUCACUUUCCACCAUGCUCCCGUGCAGCACUCUGGCAAAGAGAACUGAUUCUACUUUUCAAUAUUCUACCUAGUUUCCAAGCUUUUGCAUUAACCACAGAACAGGCUACCGCAUUCUCUUGCUUGGAUUAUUACUGAAGAUUUUAGUUCCAGGUACCAUUUCUCAUGCUUGUCCAAUCUACCCUCCACAUACCUGUUAGACAGGCCUUUGUACAAUAUGCACAUCUGGGCUUGGUGCUGAGCUCCUGGAAUCCCAGUAUUUAGAAGGUAGGAUUAUGAGUUCAAAGCCAGGCUGGGCUACAAUGCAAAACCUUGUUUCAAAGAUUGAACCAACUAGGUGCUGGUUCGGUGGCUCAGUUGCUAAAGGUGCCUGUUGCCAAGCCUAAGAACCUGAAUUCUAUCUCCAUGUCCACCGUGUAGGAAACUGACCUCUGAUCUCCACACUCAGGCUAUGCUAACAAAAUUCAAACUUCUUAUCCGGGUGUAACAUCAGUAGAUGGGAGACGGAGGAAAGAGGCCCUUUAGUUUCAAGCCAGCCUGAGCUAUAUAUCGAGUUCCAGGCUAGGUUGGGCAACAUGGUGAGGUCAUGUCUCUAAAAACAAACCAACAAUCCUGAACUCUCUGACCAAGCAACUUGUUCUCUACCAUUUCCAUGCAAUCUACCCACCAUCUGAGCAGGCUGCUGUCAGCUCCUGAAUGGGCUCUCUCUGUUGCUGUUCACUGUGUCUUCCUAGAGCCUAUCAUAGUACCCACUGAGUGCACGUGUAUACACACACACACACACUCACACACACUCACACACACACACACACACACACACACACACACACUAUUGGGCUGAGAAGGGUGGUACACUCCAGAAAUCCCAGCACUUGGGAAGCAGAGACAGGGCUAACCUGUGCUGUAGAGCAUGCUCAGGUCAGCCAGGGCUGCUACCAUGUUUCAAAAACAAACAAGGGUUUGGAAUGUCACUCAAUUGAUACAGUGCCCCCAGUUCUAUCCCCAACAACCCCAUUAAAAGGGGGUUGGGGGGCUGUGAAGAGGUGGAGGCAGGAGGAUCCGAAAUUCAAGGUCUCUUUAAUCCCAGCACUCGGGAAGAAGAGGCAAGCAGAUCUCUGUGAGUUUGAGGCCAGCCUGGUCUACAAAGCUAGUUCUAGGAACGCCGAUGUUACACAAAGAAAUCCUUUGAUUUCUUGUGGGGAAAGAAAGAAAGGAAGAUAGCGAGAAAGAGAGAAAGGAAGAAAUUAAAGGUUAUUCUCGGCUACACUGAGAACUUAAAGACAGCCUGGGCCACAUGAGACCCUGUUUCCAAAACAAAACAAAACAAAAGACCUACUGUGACAGUAUUCUUAGGAGGCAGAGGCAGGCAGGUCUCUGUCCAACUGGGCCUUCUUAGUGAAUUCAAGGCUUGCAUACUGAGACUCAAUCUCCAAAAAUUCGUGACUGAAUGAUUGAAUUCCUGAUUCUCAUUCUGUUGCCGAGGCAGAAAGGGGAGCACUGUGAGAGAGCAGGACAGCUGGAGGGGUGGUGCUAAGGUGCAGAGAGUGGAUCUGUGGUUCUGGGGAAGACUAAGGCAGAAGGAAUUAGGAAAGUGAAGUACAAGGCAUGAAGAGUUGAUACCAUCGGGAAAGACCCACGGGAGCACGAGAUGAAGAUAAAGCUCUUUCUUGGUCAGAGGAGCCGAGUGGCUCACUUGCAUGGGCAUGUUUCUGGAAGGCUCUAGGUGUCCUAGCCUUCCCGAGGGCAGCAGAAAAUCAUCCACAGGAGGUGACAGCAGGAGCCCUUAGCCAAGAGCCAGAGAAAACCAAAUGCAUAGCCUCCUUUUUGUGCUUUGCCUACCCCUGACCACUCUAGACAGGGUCCUACUGUAUGGCCCAGGAUCACAAGUUCCUCUACCACGCUCAGCUAAUCCAGCUGCUACUUGGUGACAGAAGAUGCAGGCUCCUUCUCCUCAAGAGCCCCAGGAACCAUAAAUGUAGGCUAUGGUUAUAACUGGCACGGGGCAAUUGAGUUUGUCUCUCAGUUCCAUGCCUUUGACAUGAACUAACAGGAACUGUGUCACCAUGCAAGCAAGUCUGUUUGACUAAUUUGUACAGGAUAAAAAUAGCUAGUGUUUAUUGAGGGACCUUCGCUCCCUUCCAAUACUUUACUAGGUACAUUUCCAUGCAGUCUCCUGCACGCCUCCUAAGAACCCUGAGGCACUACCAUUCACCUUACAGCCGAGGAGACUAAAGCUCUUAGAAAUGCGCCCUCCCCCCAAAACCAUACUCCUAUAUAGACAGUCUAGGAAGGGGUGGCCACAGGGAUUGCUCCCUGAACUUCACGGCCAUCUGGCACAUGUCAGCCAUGCGCCUACACUGCUUCUGCAAACCAGAUACUUCUGAAGCCCAAUCCUCCAAUCAUGUCUUUCGUGGGUCAUCCUGGCCCCUUGCCAACUGCAGUAAAUAGCAUCCAAGGAGUUUCUUUCUUUCCAGGAUCAGCAGGUGUCACCAUGGGAACCCGAGUGUCGCCAUGAAGAGUACCUUUCUUCCAGAUAAGCCUUGGAUAUGUGUGGGGCCAGGAAACUCAAGGGACUGAACUCAGGCCGUUCAGUUUGGCAGCAAGCUCCAUUUGCACACUGAAACACCUCACCAGUCCAAGGCCUUUUCCAGACCCGGAAUGGAAGGAAGGUGGAAAAAAGUGAAAGGAGCUACCGUGUUUCACUGAAAAUAAAUAUUCUCCCAGCCUGUCAUCAUCGGCAUCAGCAGCAGCAGCAGCAGCAGCAGCAGCAGCAGCAGCAGCAGCAGCAUCUAAUAGGGAAAGCAGGCUGAAAGCACAGGAAGACCUCUGCGUAAGAACUGAGACGGAUUCAGGGGUGGGGCACACAGAUGAGUGGGAGAUUCAAACAGUGCUAAGUUCAGGGUGAACCCAUCGAAACCAAACCGCGGUUGCCAGUGAGCUCAGAGCUCAAGUUGCAGUUGUGUGAGUGUGCCCGGUGCUCCAGCCUGAAGGUGGCUGGCUGCUUUGGAAGCAAUCCCACUUCCACUUCAGGGCUAGGCUUCCUCCCUCCCAGGCGGCCAAUCACUUCACAUGACUUUAAAGGCAGGAAUCAGAAGACCCAAGGCAUCCAAACAGGAGCCUGGUAGAGCCCAUGCCUGCCCCAGCACCUCACUCUCUCAGCUUACAAAAGGAAAACUUAGAUUCUUUUCAACCAGGUGGAUUCCUCUGAUUGCAAUCACUCCAGGCUUUGGUGAUUAGAUUCCAUUAGCUGCGGGAAUCAAUUGAACAACGACCUUUCCUAAAGUGAAGGGCCAGCUUCCAGAGCUUUGGCUGGCUGCAGAGCCCAGGAGGAAUUCACUGAAGGAAGGCAAACAAAGCAAUGAUCACUUUAAUAAUAAUAAUAAUAAUAAUAAUAAUAAUAAUAAUAAUAAUAAUACCCAAAACCUAAAGGACAGCAAGACAAGGCAGGGUAGGCGCAGGGACAAGGAGCUACUGGAAUCUCCAUCCCAGCCCUGGGUCCUGGGCAGCCAUGGAGAGCAGCUGAAGGGCUUGUUGGCAGCAGAGCAAAACCCAGAUUGCUACCAUUCCAAGACAGGCACAGAAGUCAGCAGGAGCAAUUACUGCCUCUGGGGUCUCCUCUGGUCUUCCUCCCCCACUACUGUACUCUGCAUGAGAAGUCCAGGAGAUAAGAAAAGUCUCCCUCAAGACCCACAUCUCGGGGACUGGUGAGAUGGCUCAACAGUUAAAAGCACUGACUGCUCUUCCGAAGGUCCUGAGUUCAAAUCCCAACAACCACAGGGUGGCUAACAACCACCCCUAAUGAGAUCUGACGCCCUCUUCUGGUGUGUCUGAAGACAACUACAGUGAGUGUACUUAUGUAUAAUAAUAAAUAAAUCUUUGGGCCUGAGCAAGCAGAGUUGACUGGAGCGAGUGGAGUUGACCGGAACGAGCAGAAGUCCUAAAAUUCAAUUCCCAACAACCACAUGAAGGUUUAUAACCAUCUGUACAGCUACAGGGCACUCACAUACAUAAAAUAAAUAAAUAAAUGUUAAAAAAAAAAAAGACACACUUCUCUCUCAGCAUUGGCAAGACCUAUGUCCUAGAUUCCCAGGUUUCCUGAAGUUGGUAACAAAGAUCCAUAAGCCACCUCAGGGGGUGCUGAUGUGUAAUUAUCAUAUGGGUUUAUUUAAAUUUAAUCUAAAACACACAAUUCCACCAAAGGCGGUUUUAUCAUUUGAUAUAUGUAUUUGUAUAUAUAAAUGUCAUAGCUAGAGAUACACAGUUUUGGUUUGAGCCAUCUGUUUCAGAUUGGGCUACUCCGCACCCUGCUCACUGCCCCAUACUCCCUCCCUAUCUACAUGGUGAUUCUGCAACUCAUUUCACUAGAGGUGAGGCCUAUUUCCCCAGCCCACUGCCAUCAGAUCACAGAAUUCCUUUUAGCCAAUGAAACGUAAGCAAAAGAAACAAUGGCAAGUCCUGAGUGGGAGACUUCCCGAGCCAUUUUGUUCUUCUUUGCUCUUGCAAUUUUUGCCAUGGCCCUAACUGGCCCACUCGUCCCUGGAGAGUGAAAGGCACAUGGAGCUAAUUUGGACCCAGCUCCUACUUAUGAUCAAGCCUCUGCUCAGCAACCAAACCCACGUGACCAACAGACGCAUCCCCCAAAAUGAAUUGCUGCUCUGUGCUUUGGGUGGUUUCUUACACAGCUUUCUUUCAGCAAGAGCUGACUGAGAACACCACCUAAGUAUAUUCCUUGGCCUACCCAAGACUCACAAUGCACUCUCUACAUUCUUUCUAGAAGGAUUUUUUUCUUUUUAGAAUAAUAUAUGGUUUUCAAUAUACUAGCUCUCUUUAUUCCCUUGCCCUUCUUAUUUUUUUAAUUUAGCACAACUCACAGUAUUUUCUUUUUUGUUCAUGUAUUUAUUCUCCAUUUUCAGUAAAAUAAAAUUUGAUGACAUCCAAGACACUGCCAAGUGCCCAAAGCAUUGUUAGGAGGGUAGUAGGCAUUAAAUAAUUUUAUACAGAUAAUAUAAUUAUUUUCCUUCUUAGUAAGUCUAGUAUCUGAUUUGUGUGGAGCUCAGGAACUUUGUGAUAGGUGAACUCGAAGAAGAAAAUAUUUCUUUUAAAGGGUGAUGAUCUUUCUGGGUGUACUGGUUCGUGUCUAUGAUACCAACACUUGGGAGACUGGUGCAGGACGAUGUCAAAGAAUUUCAGGUUAGCCUAGAUUAUACAGCAAGUUCAAAGCCAACUUGAACCAUAAUAAAUAAUGAGACCCUUUCUCAAAAGGAAAGACAGCGAGAUACCCAGAAACACAAACACACACACACACACACACACACACACAGAGAGAGAGAGAGAGAGAGAGAGAGAGAAAUAGAAAGACAGAUAAAAGACAGAGUCAGAGAGACAAAGACAGAGAGACAGACAGACUGACUUAAGGGUACAUCAUACGAUGUCUAUAUUAGUCUUCAAUCUAGACUCAGGCGAUCCUCCUGCUUCAGUCUCUCCUAUAGUUCGGACUGUGCCACCUCAUCCAGAUAAAACAUUUUAUUGAGGGAAAAAGAUAUCAGGAAGUUUGCAGAUAUUGGAAUUGCUGAUAAAAUUCUGCACCCCAUAUCAGGGGCUGUCUUCAACCUUAGGGGCUUUGUCUGUGUGUUACUGGGGUGUAGUAAGGAACUUCAAAGGGAUUUAGGUGGCUUCCAAGAGCUGUCAGAACGUUUGACUCUGGCUUUGUGCCUGCAUCACACGUUAAUUAAAUUAUAUGGCAGAAACACCACAAUGUCAAGAGCAGAUAUUAUUGCCUCCAAAGCCUAACAUUACGAGAGGUGUUUUCUAGCACAGAGCAAAGUAUACCUUUAAACAAAUUCCUUUGUCUUUCCUCGGGCUGUCAGGGCCUCCACCAGUCAGCAUGUCCUAUGAAAGUAUAUCCCGGACAGUUUUAUCAGGUGCAGGGGGUGGUCCGAACAAAACUCUCUAACUCACAGGACAGUGAGAGGUUUCAUGGAGUCACCCGCUUCUUCUAUCUGAUCCUCAGCUGUGCUUUUUUGUUUGUUUCCAAUACAGGGUCUUACUAUGUAGCCCUGGCUGUUCUGGAACUCUCCAUGUAGACCAGGCUGGCCUCCCAGAGAUCCACCUACUUCUGCCUCCUGAGUGCUGGAAUUAAAGGCUUGCACCACCACACCUGACCAACCCUCAAUUUUGUGAUCCCCAGCCUCUUUGGGAGCCUAGGCAUAUCCCCUAGGGAGAAGAUCUGGCUUUUUGGAUCUCUACAUAACAACAGGUUCUUGUCUUCUAAGAAGCUCUUAUCAGCAGGACAGCAGAUGGUCAGACUAAGGAAGGGUGGGAGUCACAUGACCUCCCCCCCACACACUCCAUCGUCUUGUUUAUUUUUUUUUUCCUUCUAGCACUGGGGAUAGAUAGAACCCAGGACCUCAUAUAAGCUAAGCAUAAGAUACCACUCUACCUCUGAGUAGCAACUCCUACCCAUCAAAAUGUUUGUCUUUUUCUUUUUUAAAUAUAGUCUCAUCUAUCCACCUCUAGAGAAUCACUGAGUCCCAGGGAUAGAACUCAAGUGUUCAGGCUCUGAGGCAAACCAACUUAGCCACCUCAUUAGCCCUAUACCUGGUUUUUACAUACUGCUGGGGACCAAACUGCUGGGGAUGUCAUGUAUGCUAGGUAAGUACACACUAUCACCACCCCUGCCCCAUGUCUUAAAUGGUGAGGGUGCCGGGCAGUGGUGGCACUUGCCUUUAAUCCCAGCACUCGGGAGGCAGAGGCAGGAGGAUUUCUGAGUUU